rnacentral:rRNA from 14 species
GAGAUGUUGGGUUAAGUCCCGCAACGAGCGCAACCCUUGUCAUUAGUUGCUACGAAAGGGCACUCUAAUGAGACUGCCGGUGACAAACCGGAGGAAGGUGGGGACGACGUCAAGUCCUCAUGGCCCUUACGGCCAGGGCUACACACGUGCUACAAUGGCAGGUACAAAGGGUCGCCAGCCCGCGAGGGUGAGCUAAUCCCAGAAAGCCUGUCCAAGUUCGGAUUGGAGUCUGCAACUCGACUCCAUGAAGCUGGAAUCGCUAGUAAUCCCGGAUCAGCA